AAUUAUACUCUGCUGUGAAGCCUGAAGCAGUGCACUAUGGGAAUCAACGCAGGGCAUAGGAGGGCUGAACCCCGUCACAAAGGCUCUGAUCAUUGAACAGACGCAGCUCUUAUUUUGGUUUUCAUUUCAGACUCAGCAGGUGGUGGGUAAGUCUUACUUACACUCUGAGGGAGGCCGGUCUGUCUCCCUAGGUGCUCCUGGAGACUCUGUGUCCUCCUCAGCACCGGGGACCAGAGAGGACACACUGCUGCCCACAGGGGUGGGGGUGAGGGCAGAGAGGGAGGCCCCAGUCAUGAAGGAGGACUCCCUGUGGGUGUGGAGGCGAGCAGAGGAGCUGCGAGGGCGCCUGGGAUGAGCUCUCAGAGGCUUUCGGAGGGGAAAAGAGAAGGAGACAAAAGGCAGUGCACAUUCAUAAAGGUGAGCAUGUGUUUAGUUUGUUACCUAAAAAACAGAAUGCAAGGACACAGGGACGACAAACCAAUGUUUCUUGCGAUCACAACAGACUUCAGACUUUCAACCCAUAGAGUAAUACCUCGGCUGUAUCAUUUGGCCCAUAAAGCUUAAGACUUUCUGGGAAAUUGGAUUUGAAGCUGAGUGAAGGCCCUGGAGGCUGGAACAUGAUGACGUUUGGGUCUCCUCUGAUACUUUGACAAAAAGAUGAUCAUAGAUCAAUAGCAAGGCAAGAAAAAAAAAUGUAAAGAGGGAACCUUGGAAACAACUGCCUUUGAGGAAAUAAAGCACACUACAGGUUCAAUGUAACAGCAAUACUGUGGGUUAAACAUACAAGUUUAAGCACCACACCGCUGCUGCUUCUGCACCUUCUCUCCAUUUCCUCACUCUGGACGCCCUGUGGUGGGUCAAUAUCACGGUAGCUGAAACCUGGAGGGGGGACGAAGAUGGAAGAAUGCAAUCUUCUCGCUAAGCCUGGGCCCCCUCCGGAGCUUUGGACUUUAUAUUUCAUCCAGCACUGUCAGCUCACGCCUGCAGCUCCUGAGCACCACCACCCUUCAGCUCGCUACAGUACAGAUGCAACGUCUCUUCAGGUGGCUCGCUUAAAAACAGUGUGGAUUUGACAGGAGUUACUCAUCAGUCAGCGUGCAGAGGUCAGCGCCAUAAUGAGCAGUGUUUUAGCCUCUGGAUGGGGAGCUCCAGGCAGUGGAAUCACUCUUUAAUAGUAAAUGACAGUUAAUGUAUUGAACUUUUUCAUAGUAUGAAGACAAGUCCCUGACUAACGCUAUGUGCUUUUGUUUCUCAUUGCUCACAUUAAAUGCACCAUUAUCUUUUCAAAUGCGAACACUUUCGAGAAGAAUUGAGGGA